GCCGGUAGAGGGAGAAGGGCCUUGCUGCAGGGAGCUGAGAUAGAGUACCUGGGUGGAGCAGGCCUGGAGAAAGGCUGGGGAGCUCUGGCCUGGAAAACCCCAGGCUGUGGCCUAGGAUAAAGCCAACAGAUCGCAAGUCAAAAGACAGUUUUUCUAAGUGCCAGCUCUGCAAACUCAACCUGUCAGGUGGAGAUAAAGCUGUGUUCUUUCUGCCUCUGAUGUCCUCAUGAAGAUUCCACACUCAGGACUUAGGGAGGAAAACAAAAUACAGCGCUUGAUCGUGGAACUCCCAUUGAAGUCAUUCAGAACGGGUCAUCUGAAGGCCGUGACCGAAGUACAUCUGAGAAGAAGAGGAUCAGACAGUCCCUUUGUUCUGAAAAGGAUCUCUCCUCUCUUGCCUCAGGGUCCAGUCGCUACCUAACUCUUAUGCCGCUUGGGUUCCUGUUACGAGCCAUAUAUGUACAACAAGGUGUAUAUUUUGUGCUACCCGCUGCAGUGUGGAGAUGGAGGAACCUGGCUGCAGAGACAAAGCGAGAAAGAUAUGUCAGACUGGCCAUCAGGAUGAGAAUUGACAGUGGGAUUCUCAUGCCCUCACAUCCCAUUGGAAUUUUAGCCUAUUCGGAUCUCAGCUUUACCCUCAGUUCUGUUACCAUUCCAGCUCGGCUAAUACAGGAAAUAAUACAACACAUUGCCAUCCCUGCAUUUCAUUUAGCUCCUGACAUCAGAAAUCUAAAGCAGUGUACAGUGAGAUUGCUGAAGGACUAGAUCUAUGGGGAUUCAGUCUGGUUUAUUUUCAAAUGUGAUUGCUGAACAUUAUCCAGGUUUGAUGGGAAAAAGAUUAAGGAGCGAAUGUAAAUCUUGUGCUAUCAUUUUAUUUGUGCACAGACAUACAUUUUUAAACUCAGACAGCCCUUAACAAGAAGCAACAUGAUCCUCCUUAGACUUGUUUCUGAGCUUUACUGGUGAAGUUCUUUGAUUAUGAUAGUUUCCAUGCUGCCUACAGUUUCAGUGCAACUUUGACUGCGGGCUGCCACUGUCAAGAUUUCUCUUUGAACAAAAUUGGCAUCUCAGCAGAUUAUGUUGCCUAAGGAUUUGAAUAAAUCCCAGUUAGUAUGGACAUUAAAAAAUGGAUUUUGGAUGCUGCUCACUGCAUUACAGUAAGGGGCCUUUGAAAAAUGUAAUUGUGUUCAAAAUCCCACAUUCAUUCUCUCUCCCCCCCCGAUGAAGAUUUCUGGAUAAUUGACUGGUUGCUUUAAGUAGUGCCAUGAAACUGCUUUUGGAAGUUUGACGAUAACUCUGGAGUUUGCUUUUGAUUAGUGACACAAUGUGAGAAAUACAUUGAAAAUACACAUUACCCACUCAGAGCACCAUCCCAAUCGCCUAACACCACUAGCCAGGGGUAACCUUCCCCUACAUGACACCGGGACAGAGUAGUCCUUUGAAUAUGUUUCAGGCCUUAUCUUACUCCUAUUGGAGUUAAUGGGAAGUGUCCUACUGAUUUCACAAGGAGCAGGAUUGAGACUAUAAAACAUCUCAUCACUUCUCUAGUUAGGGAGCUGAGCUUGAAGUUGGAACGAUAGACAUAUAAAACUUUCGGAAAGAAUGAAAACUCUUCUGGGUACAUUUGGGGCA